UGAGACUCAAUCUUUCCACAGGACCUCAGUGUCUAACCAUGGGAGAUAAAUAUCACGUUCAGGAAGAUGUGAUAAAUGCUGUGAGAGAAGAUAUAUACGGUGCUAUGGUGGCAACAGGAUCAUGGAGUGGCACAGAGAAACCAAGGAAUGCUUGCCGGAGAAGAGGAGACUCAGGGUGCAUAGAAGCAGCUAGGCCAAGAAGGUAGAGGGAGGGCUGGUGUUCCCGGGAGAGAGAACAGCACAUGGAAGGAGACGGCACAGGUGAGACGCUGGGUUGUAGAGUCAGGAAGAUCCAGGAUACGUUGCAGCUCCACCACUGGUUACAUAAGUGACCCUGCAAGUUAAUUAAUCGUUUCCAGCCUCAUCUUUUUUAUCUGUAAAAUGGAAAUAGCAAAUUGUACCUCCUCACAGGGGAUUCAAUGAGGUAAGCACAUAAGAAAAGCCUAAUAAACACAGCUAUUAUCAUCAAGAUGAUUUUAAUAGAAAGGGGUAUAAGAAUUGAGAAAAACAUUUGAUCCUUGCACUUUGCCUUGAAUUUGAUCUCAACUUUCAGCCUUAUCGUGCAAUAUUCACGUCCAAUAAAAUGAUGAUGUCUGGGAAUGUAAACUGAUGUAACCUCUUAUAUAUAAAUACACGUGUUGCAGCCAGGGUUAGAUUCAUUUGUGAGGAACCAAGACCCAAAAUGAUGAUUUAAACAAAAUCAAAAUGCAUGUCUUUUGUAUGUCAAAGUCCAGAGGUAGGCAGUGCAGCACCAAGGAAGCCAGCUCUGGUCCAUGAAGUCCUCACAGAACCAAAAGUCCUCCAGGACACGGUGCCCACAUCCUUCGAGGAGGCCCUUGUUCUCAUGAUCCAAUGUGGUGGCUAGAGCUCGGGUGACCAUAACUGUGUUCCAGGCAGAAGGAUGGAGGAAGAGGUAAACAAGAAAGAGAAGGCAAAGGGCACACACCAGUUUUUUCAAAAGGAUCCGAGAGGUUCCCCAACAACCCUUGCACUCACAUUCUAUCAGCCAGAACUAGCCACCUAGCCUCCUCUGGUGACCCGGAAGGCUGGGAAACAGAGUCUUUAUUCUGGACGGCUAUGUACCAGCUAAAACUGGCGGGUUCUGAAAAAGAGAGAAUGAAUGUUGAGCACAACUGGCAGUUGCUGCCACAACAUUCCAUAUACCAGAAACUCAAAAUACAAUAAAUGGAUAUUUUAAAAGGAGGGCAUCAUUGGCAUCACUAAAUGCUAAUUAUGAGAAUUUGCUGCCAGGAAUGCCAAGCCUAUCGGGAGAACUGGAUACACAGAGGCCUCUGAGGUUAUGGCCAAUUGCAAACGAUCAUAUCUGACGAAGGACACUACACAAUGGAAGAUGCCUGAAGGAAGGUGACUGACAGUCUGGCAAAAGGCUUGAACAACAAGCCACAGAAGAACGGCAGAAGGAACGGGAUGUGCACCCUGAGGAAGCUGUCAUGUGGAAGAAGGAUUACACUCACUCCACGAGGCUCCAGGGGGUCGAACCAAGACUAUGGGCCAAAGGUGUGAGAAGGGGAGCACACACACUGUGUGAUCAUGCUAUCAACCUCAGGCUUCCUUCCUGUCCACCAGUAAGGAGCUCCGCCAGAGGUGGCCAGUGGAUUCUUUUGUGAGCAUGUGGGCAACAACACAACACCGUCCUGAGUCCAUCCCCUACCAGCCUCCCAGACCAGUGCAGUGUGUGCACAACCAACUACAUGAGUCAGGAUCCCUGAAAUUCAUACAAUGAACAUGAGCCUGGGCUUAA